GACGAACGCUGGCGGCGUGCCUAAUACAUGCAAGUAGAACGCUGAAGGAGGAGCUUGCUUCUCUGGAUGAGUUGCGAACGGGUGAGUAACGCGUAGGUAACCUGCCUGGUAGCGGGGGAUAACUAUUGGAAACGAUAGCUAAUACCGCAUAAUAGUAGAUGUUGCAUGACAUUUGCCUAAAAGGUGCAAUUGCAUCACUACCAGAUGGACCUGCGUUGUAUUAGCUAGUUGGUGGGGUAACGGCUCACCAAGGCGACGAUACAUAGCCGACCUGAGAGGGUGAUCGGCCACACUGGGACUGAGACACGGCCCAGACUCCUACGGGAGGCAGCAGUAGGGAAUCUUCGGCAAUAGACGGAAGUCUGACCGAGCAACGCCGCGUGAGUGAAGAAGGUUUUCGGAUCGUAAAGCUCUGUUGUAAGAGAAGAACGAGUGUGAGAGUGGAAAGUUCACACUGUGACGGUAUCUUACCAGAAAGGGACGGCUAACUACGUG
rnacentral:rRNA from 1 species